AUAAAAAUAUAUGUCUAUAAACUACGCAGACGAUAGUCUGACUUUUAUAAAAUUAAUGUUAAUUUUUGUGAAAUAUUUUGUCUCAAAAAAUGCAUUGUUUCGACAGAAAAACUUUCCAAGAUCCUCCUACUAUUAUCACUAUAAUUUUCAGGUUAAAAUAAAAACCAAUAAUAGGGACAAAUUUUAUUUACACCGAAGGAAAUAACAUACAAACGAAUAGGUAUAAUCCAUGAACGUUAUAAAUAACAUAAAGACAAAUAUUUAUAAAAAGUCUUUAUUAACUUCAUUAAGUUCCCUUUUAAAUUUUUUAUCGGAACGAUAACUCAAUAUAAAUCCCGGUACGAAGCAAGUUCUUUUAGUGUAAGCUUUCUUGGCACUCAUAUUUAAAUAAUAUUAACCACCAAAACCAAUAAUCUUAUAUUAACUACGAAUAAUUAAUUAUUUUCGAAAUUUUCACAUUCACUCCAAUCAAAAGUAGCAUCUAUCUCUACGCCACCGCCGCCCUAGCGAGAAACCAAGCAAACAGGCAAAAUCGUGUACAAAAAUUUCAAGGUCGUCCUAUCUCGAUUCCUCUCCUCUGUGUAGGUCUCCAUAGAUUUACCUUUCAAAGCUUUCCGGAAGAUCCUGCGAAGAAGGCAUGAAGUAUAGAUCAGAUUUGUUAAUAGAGGAGUAUGUUAUUUAGAAAAAGAUAUUGACAGAACUUCACUUGCAUCUGUUCGUUUGAGAGACUGUGCUGUUCCAAUAGCUUAUGUCACACAGAAUCAGCCGAGAGAAGUGGUCUACAAAAAACCAGGAAGGAAUUUUAAUAUGUGGCUACGAAAAGCUAAAGAAAGGUUUACAAAGCAAAUGUGACACAUUUUUUUAUAAUAUUUAGGAAUGUCAGUAAAUUACAUUAAAAAAAAAUGUAUGAAAAGUUUUUUGCAAUAAAAAUGUUUAUAUUUA